ACGAACGCUGGCGGCGUGCUUCACCCAUGCAAGUCGCACGGAAAGGCCCUGCUUGCAGGGUACUCGAGUGGCGAACGGGUGAGUAACACGUGGGUGAUCUGCCCUGCACUUCGGGAUAAGCUUGGGAAACUGGGUCUAAUACCGGAUAGGAGCCAUCUUUAGUGUGGUGGUUGGAAAGUUUUUUCGGUGUAGGAUGAGCUCGCGGCCUAUCAGCUUGUUGGUGGGGUAAUGGCCUACCAAGGCGGCGACGGGUAGCCGGCCUGAGAGGGUGUACGGCCACAUUGGGACUGAGAUACGGCCCAGACUCCUACGGGAGGCAGCAGUGGGGAAUAUUGCACAAUGGGCGCAAGCCUGAUGCAGCGACGCCGCGGGGGGGAUGAAGGCCUUCGGGUUGUAAACUCCUUUCGCUAGGGACGAAGCUUUUUGUGACGGUACCUAGAUAAGAAGCACCGGCUAACUACGUG
rnacentral:rRNA from 1 species